rnacentral:tRNA from 1 species
GCCGGGCUAGCUCAAUCGGUAGAGCGUGCGGCUCUUAUGUCCACAGACAACACGUGUGACCGCAAGGCUGCGGGUUCGAUCCCCGCGUUCGGCU